rnacentral:rRNA from 1 species
GACGAACGCUGGCGGCGUGCUUAACACAUGCAAGUCGAACGGACAGACCAUGCUUUUGUGGGGUGCACGUGUGGCGCACGGGUGAGUAAAACGUGAGUAAACUGUACUUGAAUUUGGGAUAAAUUUUGGAAACUGGGGAUCAUACAGGAUAGGAGAUACUGCUGCACGGUGGGGGUUGGAAAGUUUCGGCGGUUGGGGCUGGACUAGAGGCUUAUCAGCUUGAUGGUGAGGUAGUGGAUUACAAAGUCUUUGAAGGGUAGCCGGCCUUAGAGGGUGACCGGCCACAUUGGUACUGAGGUACGGCCCAGACUCCUACGGUAGGCAGCAGUGGGGAAUAUUGCACAAUGGGCGGAAGCCUGAUGCAGCAACGCUGCGUUCGUAAUGACGUCCUUCGAGGUGUAAACCGCUGUCGCCUGUGAUGAAGCGGGAUUGACGGUAAUUGGUAAAGAAGCACCGGCUAACUACGUG